GUCCCUCUUCAGUGCCUCUGUCUUUUGUAAAAGACAGAAGGUGCUGAGGAGGGCUUGGGAUAGGUCUGAGGACAUUUUAUGGAAAUAAAGACAGUCUUUAGGUAAAAAAACUAAAAAACUACUAUGUAGGUAAAAAACUAAAAACCCAGCUUUAGUGCUGGUUUUUAGUUUUUUACCUGUCUACAUGGCCAAACAUCUCAUACAUUUCAUACAUGAACCAAAAAACACACUUUCCUUUCUUACACAGGGCAUCACUUUCAUGAAACCCAAAGCACAAAUACUGGAAACUCAUAACAGUAUGGACCAAUCAUGUUUGCCAACACUAUACAAAAUUUUAACCACACCAACAAAAUAUACUCACACACACUUUGAAGAAAACAACAUUCUCACAGACUGCCAUAGAAGUCACAUGGGGUGCAAAGAGCAGCUGAUCAUCGACACAACAAUACUAAAACAA
rnacentral:lncRNA from 1 species